rnacentral:rRNA from 1 species
GAUCGCUGUGAUGCGGGCGGUUCGCCGCCCGUGACUCUGCGAGAAGUCCAUUGAACCUUAUCAUUUAGAGGAAGGAGAAGUCGUAACAAGGUUUCCGUAGGUGAACCUGCGGAAGGAUCAUUGUCGAGAUCGAAAUACAUCGAGCGAUUUUGAGAACUCGUAAAGAUAAGCGGUGGCUCCUGCCACUGAGAUAAAAUCCACCCUAGUCAUUGCCUCACCCCCUCUUUAAUGCGGGGACACGAUGAUGGAUGGAUGAACCCUCAAAUCGGCGCAGCUUAGCGCCAAGGGAAUAUCGAAACACAAGCCCUUAAAUGGUGUUGUGGGAUGGGGUGCUGUCGCACACUGUAUCGAUUGACAUGACUCUCGGCAAUGGAUAUCUCGGCUCUUGCAUCGAUGAAGAGCGCAGCGAAAUGCGAUAUAUGGUGCGAAUUGCAGAAUCCCGCGAACCAUCGAGUCUUUGAACGCAAGUUGCGCCCGAGGCCGACCGGCCUAGGGCGCGUCUGCCUGGGCGUCAAGCAUUUUGUCGCUCCGUGUCUAGUCUCACAUCGAUGGAUGUGCUGGCGAAGGCUCGGAUGUGCAUGGUGGCUCCUCGUGCCCCUUGGGUACGGUGGGCUGAAGGGCGGGUCAUCUUCUCGUUGGCUGCGAACAAUAAGGGGUGGAUUAAAGAGAAGGCCUAUAUUAUUGUGUCAAGCAUGCCUGAGAGAUGAGCGUACGUUUUAGGUGAUCCCAAAUCAUGCGUCGAUCUGUGGAUGGCGUUUUGAAUGCGACCCCAGGAUGGGCGAGGCCACCCGCCGAGUUUAAGCAUAUCAAUAAGCGGAGGAGAAGAAACUUACAAGGAUUCCCCUA